UCCUUCUUGUGUUCUAGAGAGAGAAAGAGGGAUGAGAGGGGAUGAGAGGGGGAAAAAUGAGAGAAAAUCUCAUUAGGCCCCAUAACAUAGCUAUUGGGUUGCCAAAAUGCAAAUAAACCCCUCAACUUUCACCUAAAUACACUGCCCGAACUGGGCUGUUCGCGCAGGCGGGGACCGGUCUCUCCUUCAGGGACCGGUUCCCGAAGGUCCUCCCAGUGCAGCCAGAGCUGCCGCGCGCAGUGCAACCGGUCUCUCUUUGGGGGACCGGUCUCUCGGGGACCGGUCUCUCAGGUAGGGACCGGUUCCCGAGAGCUGGUUUCUCAGGACUUAGCCGAUUUUUCGGCUGUCUCAUUUCUC
rnacentral:lncRNA from 1 species